UUUGAUGGGGAAAUGCGAACCGCUUUUGUUAGGGCCGGGAGAAAUCUGACCGUUGCAUGGGAAAUUUAGGUGCAUAAUAAGGUGGGAUUGAUGUUGACCAUAAGGACAAAUGACCGGCUGUCUCAUUGGUGGGUAGUUUGCAAGAGCAUUGAAUUUCACCCAGUGGGUUGUGGACCCAUCAGUUACCUUGACUCUUCCUUCCCGCCACUGCAUCUCUCCCUCCCUCUUCAGAUCCAUCCGACUUCCCUGUGUCAUCUGAACAACCAGGUUGGCAUUUCCCAGCCAAGAUUUCUCUCUAUUAUUGAACAUUUCUGAAGAGGAAAAGAACAGGCUUGUUAUCAAGACGCAUCGGGUUGCCCGAUCAAGAGGGAUGAGUUUACUCAGAUAGUGACUAGAAACUACCGCCAGCGUUUGCUUCCUGCUUUGGUGAUUAAUGAGGCCAUAACCAAACUCUCGAACAUUUUUGGGGUUGAGAUGAUAUAGAGCUUCAAAGAUCUCGCCCUUCCUCAACGACUCAGCAAAAUAUUUGCAGAAAGACAAAGUUAAUGGCCCUGAAGGAAAUGCUUUGGUUUAUGAGCUUGCUGAGGGAGCUGUAGAUGGCCCAGUUAAUGAUAGAAUUAAAGAAUACAUAUCACAGAUAUUAUUUGAAUAUGAGCUUGACAAUUUAAUGUAUCUCCCAUAUUUUAUGGUGCCACUGUCGUUUUAUACUCUUUUUUUAGUGAAGGAUGUGCAAGUACUAUGAUUAUAUGGGACAGUUCUGAUGCUUCAGAAAAUUUAUGUUAGUUUCUUAAUGGCGGAAAAAUUAUUCAACCACUGUACAAUUUGUUCCUGAUUUAUGGUAUUGAUAUAAUGCUUUAUCAAUUAUGAUGUGACUUAACAUUCAAAAAAUUGAAAUUGUUGGUAGAUUGUGAAAAAGGUAGUUCCUAGUGUGGAAAUGGACUGAUAUGAUGUCCUAGAGCAAACUCUUUAGCAACUAGAGGAGGUGACCCACAGUUUCAUCUUAUCAAGUGACUUUGCCUGCCUUGUGGGAUUGUCACUUGUACAUCAGCUGUUGAUGCCUUCUGCAGUAGAUGAUAUGAAGUUUGCUUCUCAAUGAGGAAGCCAGGAAAGCUUAUGCAAGGAAGAAAGAAGAA